rnacentral:rRNA from 1 species
CUAUUUAGCUAGAGUGUGGGAGAGGAAGAUGGAAUUAGUUGUGUAGGGGUAAAAUCCGUAGAGAUAACUAGGAAUACCAAAAGCGAAGGCAAUCUUCUGGAACAUUACUGACGCUGAGGCGCGAAAGCGUGGGGAGCAAACAGGAUUAGAUACCCUGGUAGUCCACGCCCUAAACGAUGAAUGUUAGUCGUCGGGUAGCUAGUCUAUUCGGUGAUGCAGCUAACGCAUUAAACAUUCCGCCUGGGGAGUACGGUCGCAAGAUUAAAACUCAAAGGAAUAGACGGGGACCCGCACAAGUGGUGGAGCAUGUGGUUUAAUUCGAAGAUACGCGAAGAACCUUACCUAGCCUUGACAUAUUUUAGAACUCCGUAGAGAUACAGAGGUGCCUUCGGGAGCUAAUUUACAGGUGCUGCACGGCUGUCGUCAGCUCGUGUCGUGAGAUGUUGGGUUAAGUCCCGCAACGAGCGCAACCCUCGUCACUAGUUACUAACAGUUCGGCUGAGGACUCUAGUGAGACUGCCUUCGUAAGGAGGAGGAAGGUGAGGACGACGUCAAGUCAUCAUGGCCCUUACGGCUAGGGCGACACACGUGCUACAAUGGCCAGGACAGUGAGACGCGAUACCGUGAGGUGGAGCAAAUCUAUAAACCUGGUCUCAGUUCGGAUUGUAGUCUGCAACUCGACUACAUGAAGUUGGAAUCACUAGUAAUCGUAGAUCAGCUAUGCUACGGUGAAUACGUUCCCGGGUCUUGUACUCACCGCCCGUCACACCAUGGGAGUUGAUUUCACCCGAAGCGGGGAAGCUAAACUGGCUACCCUCCACGGUGGAAUUAGCGACUGGGGUGAAGUCGUAACAAGGUAACC